rnacentral:misc_RNA from 1 species
CAGAGUUCAUGCCCUUACGGGUAGAUCUCCCACCCUUGAGUACUAUACCUUUGUUGCUUUGGCGGGCCGCUUUGGCUACUGGCCCCGGCUAGUGAGUGCCCGCCAAAGGAUCCUAAAACUCUGAAUAUUAGUGUUGUCUGAGUACUAUAUAAUAGUUA